UACGGAGGGUGCAAGCGUUAUCCGGAUUCACUGGGUUUAAAGGGUGCGUAGGCGGGGAUAUAAGUCAGUGGUGAAAGCUCCGAGCUUAACUUGGCAACUGCCAUUGAUACUGUAUAUCUUGAAUGUCGUUGAGGUUAGCGGAAUGUUGCAUGUAGCGGUGAAAUGCUUAGAUAUGUGACAGAACACCAAUUGUAAAGACAGCUACCUAAGCGAUGAUUGACGCUGAGGCACGAAAGCGUGGGGAGCAAACAGG
rnacentral:rRNA from 1 species